rnacentral:lncRNA from 1 species
GGUACUUUGAUAUUUUAUGUACAGUAUAUAAUAAGUAUUUGGUGUACUUUGAUAUUUUAUGUACAGUAUAUAACAUGUAUUUGGUGUACUUUGAUAUUUUAUGUACAGUAUAUAAUAUGUAUUUGGUGUACUUUAAUAUUUUAUGUACAGUAUAUAAUACGUAUUUAGUGUACUAUUUGAUAUUAUAUGUACAGUAUAUAAGAUACA